rnacentral:rRNA from 1 species
GAUGAACGCUGGCGGCGUGCCUAAUACAUGCAAGUCGAGCGAACAGAUGAGGAGCUUGCUCCUCUGACGUUAGCGGCGGACGGGUGAGUAACACGUGGAUAACCUACCUAUAAGACUGGGAUAACUUCGGGAAACCGGAGCUAAUACCGGAUAAUAUAUUGAACCGCAUGGUUCAAUAGUGAAAGACGGUUUUGCUGUCACUUAUAGAUGUAUCCGCGCCGCAUUAGCUAGUUGGUAGGGUAACGGCUUACCAAGGCGACGAUGCGUAGCCGACCUGAGAGGGUGAUCGGCCAAACUGGAACUGAGCCACGGUCCAGACUCCUACGGGAGGCAGCAGUGGGGAAUAUGGGACAAGGGGCGGAAGCCUGACGCAGCCAUGCCGCGGGUGUGAAGAAGGUCUUCGGAUGGUAAAGCUCUGUAAGUUGGGAAGAAGGGAAGUAAGUUAAUACCUUGCUGUUUUGACGUUACCAACAGAAAAAGCACCGGCUAACUUCGUG